ensembl:lncRNA
CCAGAAGAGAGCGUUGGAGUUGCUGCGGCAGGCCAAGGAGAAGUGUUCCGUUGUACUGAACCACGCCGAGAACAGAGCCUAGAACCAAGAACAGGACCUCCACGCCGAGAACAGAACCUCCCUUGUAGUGCCUCGCCCCUUCAACCCAGACCUAGAACCUCGAACCUCCCUUCUGGUUCCUCAUCCUUCAACCUCAGACCUUGAAUUUAGAUGAUCGACUCUAGCCUAGAACUUCAACCGUAAACCUGAAUAAUAAGACGUAAUUUCCUGAAGUUAAUACAAGUCAUGUCAUUAAGGUGAUAUAAAUCAUAAAGAUUAUAAAUAUAAAUCAUAAAGAUUAUCGAUGUAAUGUCAUAACGAUUAUAGAUGUAAUGUUAUAAAGAUUAUAGAUAUAAGUCAUUGCGAUUAUAGCUGUAAUGUUAUAACGAUUAUAGAUGUAAUUUUAUAAAGAUUAUAGAUGUUAUGUUAUAAAGAUGUAACUUUAUAAACAUUAUAUAAGUAAUUUAAUAAAGAUUAUACAUGUAAUUUUAUAAAGACUAUAGAUAUAUUGGUAUAGAUUAUAGAUGUAAUGUCAUAAAUAUUAUAGAUGUAAUGUUAGAAUAUUAUAAAUAUAAGCCAUUAGGAUUAUAGAUGUAAUGUUAUAAUGAUUAGAGAUGUAAUGUUAUAAAUAUUAUGGAUGCAAUGUUAUAAAGACUAUAAAUAUAAUGUUAUAAAGAUUUUGGAUGUAAUGUCACAAAGAUUAUUGAUGUAGUGUUACAAAGAUAGUUAAAGAUAGUUUUAAUCUACUUAUAUAUUCAACGUCUAUUUAAAGUCUACCUUUAGAGUUAAAGUCUGACUUAUAGAUUUGAAGACUACCUUAUAGAGUUUAAGUCUAAGAGUUAAAGUCUACCUAGAGUUAAAGUCUACCGUAUAGUAUAGAGUAAAGUUAUAACAGUUUAUUGUUAGUGUGAUAUUAUAUUAUAGUAUUAUUACAUGGUAUUAUAGUAUAGUAUUAUUAUAUGGUAUUAUUAUAUUGGAGUAUUAUUC